AAGUCGUAACAAGGUAUCCGUAGGUGAACCUGCGGAUGGAUCAUUAACGUCAAUGAAAUUUAAACAGACGAUGACCCUUAAGCAAUUGUGGUCCAGUGACAAUCAACACAACUUGCCGUGUUGUCGUCUGUAAUAAUUCUCAUUAAUGUACACCCUUUGUGGUGAAAACAGGAAUAUUUUUAUUGUAGUAGUUAAUUUUUGAUUAAUGAUUCCACUUGUGGAUUAUUCCGCUUGUGGAGUUGUUUGAUAUCAGAGGUGCUAUUAUCAUCUAUAUAAAGACCCAAACAUUUAUUAACAUUUCUAAUGCUAAAGUAACCUUGUGAACUAAACAUUGAAAGCAAUUGAUAUAUUUGUUACCAAGUAAAACAAUUAAUAAAUCUAAUACAACUGCUAGCAACGGAUCACUCGGCUCUC
rnacentral:misc_RNA from 1 species